GCAAUUGUUAUAUUUUACCUAAGGUUUCUGGGGCAUGCCCUAGUGGCUCUUGACAAAAUAUCAUGAUAGUUGAAGAAAGGACAGAAACAGUCCCCUGAGCAUUAAGAUGACAAAAACUAUUAAGACCUUAAAAAAAAUCAGCAUUGAUAGAUCCAUGCACUUGGGAGUUUUAUGCUGAAAAUUACAUUCUAGCAUGAAAGUUAGGCAUGUGUUUAGAAUGUACAGAUCUGUUUUGCAGUCCUGAUUGUUAUUGAGGUAGCUGAAUAGCUCUCUCUAAAUAAUUUAUACAUAGGUUAUUAAUGAAGAUGAAAGAGAGUCUCAAGUGAAUCAAUCUACCCAAAUUUGUAAGAGGAAAGCUGAAUCAUGCAGAUGUCUAAAUGUUGACUGUACUAAAAAUACUCACCCUGGAAGUUCAGGUAGUCACCUCCCUUAGUGUGUGAAAGAAGAGUGCAGCUAAAGUAAAACUGGGGUAGAGGGCUUGCAAAGACAGUUCUUCAGAGUGGUGCUUGAAGCUUCAUCUCUAGAAGCUUGCCCAUGAUUCUAUACAGAUACGACUAGCUAGCUGGAGCUGAAUGGUAAUGGUACUGUUCAUCUGCGGUCUUCUGGAAGGUUGAAAACUUCAUGAGUAAAUAACCAGUGGAGCUGGACAACUUGGCAGCAAACUCUUUGGCUUUCCUGAUUCUACCUGUGGAGCCUGGUUUGCAAGUUUGAUAUGAAGACAUACAGUCCAGAAGAGGGAAGUAGUGGAAGACUAUCACAAGUGUGAGCAAUUUCAACCUGGU